AGAGUUUGAUCAUGGCUCAGAUUGAACGCUGGCGGCAGGCUUAACACAUGCAAGUCGAGCGGGGUGAUGGUGCUUGCACUAUCACUUAGCGGCGGACGGGUGAGUAAUGCUUAGGAAUCUGCCUAUUAGUGGGGGACAACAUCUCGAAAGGGAUGCUAAUACCGCAUACGUCCUACGGGAGAAAGCAGGGGAUCACUUGUGACCUUGCGCUAAUAGAUGAGCCUAAGUCGGAUUAGCUAGUUGGUGGGGUAAAGGCCUACCAAGGCGACGAUCUGUAGCGGGUCUGAGAGGAUGAUCCGCCACACUGGGACUGAGACACGGCCCAGACUCCUACGGGAGGCAGCAGUGGGGAAUAUUGGACAAUGGGGGGAACCCUGAUCCAGCCAUGCCGCGUGUGUGAAGAAGGCCUUAUGGUUGUAAAGCACUUUAAGCGAGGAGGAGGCUCUUUUGGUUAAUACCCAAGAUGAGUGGACGUUACUCGCAGAAUAAGCACCGGCUAACUCUGUGCCAGCAGCCGCGGUAAUACAGAGGGUGCAAGCGUUAAUCGGAUUUACUGGGCGUAAAGCGCGCGUAGGCGGCCAAUUAAGUCAAAUGUGAAAUCCCCGAGCUUAACUUGGGAAUUGCAUUCGAUACUGGUUGGCUAGAGUGUGGGAGAGGAUGGUAGAAUUCCAGGUGUAGCGGUGAAAUGCGUAGAGAUCUGGAGGAAUACCGAUGGCGAAGGCAGCCAUCUGGCCUAACACUGACGCUGAGGUGCGAAAGCAUGGGGAGCAAACAGGAUUAGAUACCCUGGUAGUCCAUGCCGUAAACGAUGUCUACUAGCCGUUGGGGCCUUUGAGGCUUUAGUGGCGCAGCUAACGCGAUAAGUAGACCG
rnacentral:rRNA from 1 species